rnacentral:lncRNA from 1 species
GUAAACAUUCAACCUCAAGCUGUACAAAUAUUCUUCAGAAAUCGCCGUGCGGAAAACGAUUUAUUAGGGGAAAACUAAAUUUAGCAGAUUGCAAAUUUUUGACGUUUCAAAGAGUACCAAGAAUCUCUCCGCAUUUGCGGUCGGUUUCAUCCGCGGCUCGGAUGAGGGCCGGCCACCACCAGUUAGUGUAGAUUCCAUCCCUGGCGUGGCUGGAUCUCGAGCAGCGACAGCCUCGGCUUGUCCAAGGGUUGUACCGCUCACCCUCAUCAGAACUUGUAGACACCACUUUUGUGGGUUAUUUGUUGUUGCUCGAGCAGUAUCGUUUGUGGGUUAUCGUCGCCUGUAAACGCUCGCAGUCUUGGCUUGGUUGAAACAAUUAGUGGCUCUGUCGUUUCCUGCCGCUCUUGUCUUGAGGCGUGCUUGUGUUCUUGGAUGUGAAGCAAGUGGUGGGGUUUUUGAGGCGAUACGCUGGAAGUUGGAGCUCUUGUGGCGCACGAGGUUUCUUGAAUGAGCGCUGGAAGUGUCAGUCGUUAAAUUCUGCUCUUCAUAGAUCGACGACUGUGAUGCUACCUGCGAGCCAACAACAGCGGUGGAGGUGGCGAUAACAUCAUACGUUGUUUUGUUGUCGAAGCACGGGUAAUACUACACCCUCAUCGCCAUGCAAGGUGAGUCUUUGAAGGUAGAUCAUUUCUUAUCACUUCCUUCACAUUUGUGGUUUUUUACAUGAUGGUGAGGAAUUGCUUGACAAACUUUAAAAUUCUGAGAUUAUACUGUACGCAUCGAUGUCCCUGAACAGAGUCUCGAGUAGGUUGUCAACCAGUUUGGUUCUAGGUAGGUGCAUUGACAUGGAGGAUUUCAAUUACGACUUCAUACUACACCGAGUUCAUAUACAAUACGAGACAGAAUCUAUAUACAGUUUACCUUGUAUGUCGUAGAACAUUUAGCAUAUACCAUAUAAGUCGUAGAAUAUUUUCUCUAUAUUUGUUUUAUAUUUUUUUCUUCAUUCACUGAAAUCUGAUGCAACUUUGCAUUACAAUGUUUUGAUAACUACAUGCACUAUAAAAACAACUCUUUCAAGCUUAUAAGUGAUAAUUGGAGGUUGGAGUGGUGAUGGUUUGGAUUGGGAGAUUAUGUUGUGAAUUGAUAGUGAAUUAAUUGUAUUUUGCUAUUAAUAUUUGGUAUUGUAACUCAAUCAAUAUAUGUAUUUUUGAUUCUCAAUUGAUUGUAUUAGUAUUGAAGAUGAUGUUUGAAAUAAUUAUAAUUAUUUUUUUAGAUAAUAAAAUUCUUAAUUAGUAUGAUAGUUUGUAAUUUAAGUUAUUCAGAUUUUUAUUAGCAUGAUGUUGCAUCUUUCUAUUUAAUUGUAUGUAAGUUAUUAAAUUUAAUAAUGUUAUUUUGAAAAAAAAAAAAAAAAAAAAAAAACGUUUUUGUUAGAGUUAUGUCUUAUUAUUAUAACAUUUUUGUUAUAACAUGUUUUGCAUCUUUCUAUUUAAUUGUAUGUAAGUUAUUAAAUUUAAUAAUGUUAUAUUGAAAAAAAAAAAAAAAAAAAAAAAAAAACGUUUUUGUUAGAGUUAUGUCUUAUUAUUAUAACAUUUUUGUUAUAACAUGUUUUGCAUCUUUCUAUUUAAUUGUAUGUAAGUUAUUAAAUUUAAUAAUGUUAUAUUGAAAAAAAAAAAAAAAAAAAAAAAACGUUUUUGUUAGAGUUAUGUCUUAUUAUUAUAACAUUUUUGUUAUAACAUGUUUUAGAGUUAGAUUUAAGUCUUAUUAUUGAAUAUUAAUAAUUAUAUUAUUGAUAUUGAAGCUUUGAUUUGUUCAAAAUGGAGUGACAAAUAUGACAUGAAGAUGUUGGCAUGGCAUUAAUGUCAAGCAUGAUUUUGAAUUGAGAUUCUUUUAGUUUUUAAAAUUGGGAACUUUUGAAAUAUAUUAUAUUUGGUUGUCAAAGUUAUAUUUAUAUAGUGUAAUAUGUUAUUGGUUGAAGUAUUUUGCCUAGUUAUGUUUUCUUCUUUUUGUGUCUUUUCAUUUAAAUUAUGUUUAUGUUGACUAUUAUUUUUUGUUCUUUAUGUAAUUUUAAUGCUUUUAUUAUUAAACAAAGCAUUCUUAUAGUACACAUAAUAUCUUUAUUGUUCAAAUAUUAUAUGGCAUUUGAUUGUUUGAAUUGAUAUUUAAGAUUUAAUGGUAAAUAAGCAAGUGCAUGUGUGGAAUGGAGAAUUUGUGAAGUUGUGUGUUCAAGGUUAUGGACUUUUGAUUGUAGUAUAUUGAUGUGCAUUACAUUUUUUCGACUAAUGUGAAUAAAUUGGAUUAGUAUGUCUAAGAGUAAUUAUUCUAGGACCUAUUUGAUUUUUUGAGCUUUGUUGUAUGUAAGUAGAACUACUAAGUUAUAAAGGAUUUGUGUAAUAUUUAAGUAAAAAAUUAUCUAAUUUAAUUGGAGGUUGCAAAAAUAAGAAGGAAUGAUGGUAACAAAAGUCUAUAUUAAACCAUCUUCAUUAUACUAUAGGAUCAAGUUUUUAGAUCAUUAUAUUGGUAUAACAUUAUUUUUUAUUUAGUUAUAUUUCAAAGACUUAAAGAUAUUAUUUAAGACUACAAUUUACUUUAGAAUAAGAAUAUUUUAAUAUCUCUAAAUAUAUAUAGCAAUUGAGCUUUUUAUUUUAAUAAAUUGAUGGUGGUUUAAUCUUAAUAUCUAGGUAUUCAAUUUUGUGAAUAAUAGAUGUCUACUUCUGCCAGGUUGAAGAAUUCCAAAUAAUUCAAACGAAUAUAUAUUUUUUGAAAGUUCAAAUUGUGUCUUUUUGGAGGCAUUGGAAUUGCUCAUAGAAUUCAUAUUGGAAUAAUUCUUCAAAGCUUUUGAGGUAUUUUUUCUACUAUAUGCCUUAUGAUAAAAUAAUUGAACUUUGUUGUUAUGAAUAAUUGGACACAAUAUGUUGUAUUGUCUAUUGAGAGUUUGUGAGCUUGUCAUAUUUAUAAGUCACCUUAGCUUAUUGGCUUGUAUUGUAUUAUAUUGUAUUGUAUUGAUUUUCUCUUGAAGAAGGCAUAGAUUAUUGGUGUGCCAAACUAAUUUGUCAUUAGGAUGUAAGUAUGUUAAUAAUAUAUUAUAAAUUCAUAUUUGAUAGUUUUUGUCAAGAUUUUUUUUAGAAAUUAAUAUGGUACAAGAUUAAAGUUAGUUGGUGUUUUAAACAAGUUUUGUGGUGUCAUAGGAACUAUUGUGCAUUUCUACCAAUUCCAAUAUUUACAUUAUUUUAAUCCUUAAUUGAAGUAAUAAAUGUUGUUACAAUAUAAUAAAAUAUACUUUUUACAAUUAUCAAUGGAGAUUAUAACAAAAGCUUCAACAUUAUUGAGAGAAGGGGUGUUGAAUGAAAGGCAAUGUAAGAAUUUGUUGAAUAACUUUUUAAGGGGUCUUGAAACAAUUCAAACUAUUAUUGGUGGUUCUUGUUUAAAUGUAUUUGAUGGAGCAAAAAAAGAUUUGUUUAAGCUUGCAUGCAAAGCAAGAGACUUGAUUGAGGAGUGUUGCAAGGAGGAUUGGUUAAAAAGUGCAACAAUACAAAUCAAUAAUAAAGAAGCUUUUAAAGAACUUCUCAUGGACUUAGGUUAUUGCUUUGACAACAUAUGUAGCAUCUUUCAUUAUUAUUAUCUUAAUCAAAGGAAAAAGACCAUUGAGGUGAAAAGAAGCAUCUCAUUUUUUCGAACAUAUAUUGAUGAAAUUGAUUAAGAUACAAUAACAUUGAAUGAGAGGCUUGAUGGUAUCAUACAACAACCAUCACUUGUAAUUUAAGAUGGUAAACUUGCACAUUAUCUUAUAGGUCAAAUAAGUGGUAUCUGAAAGGUUGAAGGAGGAGAAUUAAACAUAAUUAUUUUUCCUAAUGAAUAUUCUUAUCUUGAAUAUGAAAGACCAAAUUUUCCAUUGGGUGGAAGAGAUCGUGUGUUGGUGUAUCCAACAAAAUGGUUGGACAUAGAAAGUACAACAAAGGUUAUUGCUAUUUUUAAUAAUAAAGCUAUCUUGAAAGAAGCUGGUAUUUUGGGUGGAUUAACUCAUCUAAAUAUCAUCAAGCUUUUCUAUUUUGGUUUUUCUAAAGAAAGAAAAGGAUUUAAAUUUGUCAUGGAAUGAGGAAAGAUGACUUUAUUCAAAAUAUUGGAAGAAAGAGGCUCACUUUCAAAAGCAAUUGCAAUAGAUAUUAUGCUACAAAUUGUAAGUAGAAUAUGCUAUAUGCAUGACAUGAGGGUAGUACAUUGUGAUCUAAAGUCUGAUAAUAUUAUUAUAAAUCUAAUGUACAUUCCAAAGGCAAAUGAUAUAGAAUUUAUAUAUGUGAAGUUACUUGAUUUUUGUAUUUCAAAUAUUGAAGUGAUAAAUCUACAAAUACUUACAUGAAAAAUCACUAUAAGAAUCUUAGGAUAUAUAGCACUUGAGGCCAUAAUGAAUGAAGGAAAAUCCUUGCAAGAAGUCGAUGCUUUAAAAACUGAUGUGUUUAAUUUUGGCAUGUUGUGUAGUGAGAUUAUUUUGGAGACAAAACCUUUAUUGAUAUAAUCAGUUAUAAAGCUUAUCAAGAAAUUAUUGAAAGAGAUAAAAGAUCCAAUUUGCCAAAAUCUUGUCUAAAAGAAUUGAAAUUAUUGAUAGAAAAUUGUUCAUUGUUGGAUCCAUUAAAAAGACGUACAUUCCUUGAGAUUUAUACAAGAUUGAUAAUAUUAAAAAAAAUAUUGCUCCAAGAUCCUUGGGAAAGUAGAGAUCUUAAAGAUAAAGAGUAUACACCAUGGACUAACAUUGUUUUAGAUUCAAAAUAUUGAUAGAUAAGUCUUAAAGAUAAUUUGUGCAAUAUUAUACAACAUAUAUAAGAUUGAUAAUAUUAAAAAAAAACAUUGCUUUAAGAUCCUUGGAGAAGUAGAGAUCUUAAAGAUAAAGUGUAUACACCAUGGAUUAAUAUUUUUUUAGAUUCAAAAUAUUGAUAGAUAAGUCUUAAAGAUAAUUUGUGCAAUAUUAUACAACAACAUCUCUUCUUACUUUGGCAAUAUUUUUCCAUCUUUAUUCAAAACUUUUGGUUUGUAUUUCUAAUUCAAAAAAUUAAUCCCACCACAAAAUUGAUAGUUGAUCUAAAACAAAUUGGUUCAUCAAAUCAAAUUAUUAGUAAGGUAUGUAUUUUAUUAUUAUUAUUAUUAUUAUUAUUAUUAUUUAGUUUUUUUAAUAAUUUAAAUAUAAUUGUAAUAGAUGCCAUAAUAUAGUAUAAUAUGUGACUUAGAUCUUAAUUGAUAUAAAGACAUUAUUUGUCAAGGACAUGAACUAAAAGAUAAUGCAUAAACUAAUGAAAUCAAUCUCAAAGAAGAAGUGACAAAAUAAAAACAAGGAAGUACAUAUAUUUAAAGAAAUUGAAAAGGCUUAUUGCCAAAAGACAAGAAAACUUGAGACGCUUGAAACUAGACUAGAAGCAAGAAAAGAAUUGAGAAGAGUGAAGAGGGCUUCACUCUUGUUUCUAUAUAUACUAUCUAAGUAAGGACUACAUGGCGAUGUUCUAUAAGACCUCUAAUAUGUGUUGACUUUGUAGAACAUAUACCUUGAUUUACAAGGCAAGUUUAUCUACGUGUGGUCCAUAUAGUUAGCUUGGUCUUCAAGCUAACAACAUUUAUGGCACAUGGCCAACUUAUUGACCACGUUUUUAACUCAAAAAGUCAAUUAAAGACACCUAUAAAGUUAAAGUAGCAUCUAUAUAGCUUCUAAGAAGCUUCUAUAGAAAAUAUUAUAGAAUUAACUUAUUUUUACCUACUUUUACUUACUUCUAUCUAUUUAUACAUGUAAUUAUUAGUUUACAUGCAUAUGUCCAUGACAUUAUUAUUCAUAUAAAUUAUUUUGGCACUCAAAUUUAAAAGCUUGUAAAUUAUUGCAGGUCAAUAAAGAAGCUACCAAAAAUUUAAAAUUAAUUGAUGUAGAUAAGAAAUUAUCUAAUUUGGAAAGCAAAUUAUAAAGAGUUGGUAGUUUGGAAAUUAUUGGGCUAGGUGGAAUUGACAAGUCAACAUUAGCUAAGGCUUUAAGUAGCCAUAUCUCCUUCAAGUUUGAAACAACAUGUUUUAUAGAUGAAUUGAAUAAUGGAAAAUAUAAGCUUAGAUUAAGAAAUAAGUUGGAAGUUUUGCACAAGCAACCUCAAGUAUAUUCUUUGCAAGUGAAAUCCGUUUUGGAGUAUUAUCAAACACAAAGGUCUUAGUUAAAUGUGUGUACUUCACCUUGAUAAUUGUAAAUUUCUUGAAUAUUUUUCAAAUGAUUCAUUCAAAUCAUUACCCUUGACAAAUUUAUAAUUGAAAAAUUAUAUGAGAUUGAAAGAAUUGACAAUCAACUUACAUAGUAUAACAUCCUUGAUUGUCCUUCUCCUUGAAAAUUAUCCUACAUUAGAAGUACUUCCUACAAGAUGAACAAAUAUUAAUAUUUUAAAAGAAUUAGUAAUCGGCCAUUAUACUAGUUUGAGAAAAAUAUUAAAUGGAAUUCAAAUCUUGACAUGUUUAAAGAUACUAAAGAUGUGGAAAUGUAAAGCUUUGAAAGAGUUUCUAAGUGGAUUGCUAAAUUUGAUUGCAUUAGAAAAAUUAGACUUUUCAAAGUAUAGAAAGUUAAAAAACUUGCCAGAAGGGGUUGGAAGCUUGACAUGUUUGAAGAAACUAUACAUAUAGUAAUGUGGGGCUUUGGAAGAGUUUCCAAGUGGAUUAUCAAAUUUAGUUGCAUUAGAAGAAUUAAGUUUUUCAAAAUAUAAAAAAUUGAAGAAGUUGCCAAAAGGGUUUGGAAGCUUAAUAUGUUUGAAGAAACUAUACAUGUUGGAAUGUGGAGCUUUGAAGAAGUUUCGACUUGGAUUGCCAAAUUAGAUUGCAUUGAAGGAAUUGGAUUUCUCAAAGUAUAGAAAAUUGAAGAAGUUGUCAAAAGGAUUUAGAAGCAUGAUACAUUUAAAGAUAUUAAAGAUGUGGGAAUAUGAUACUUUGGAAGAAUUUCUAAGUGGAUUGCCAAAUUUUGUUGCAUUAGAAGAAUUGAAUUUUUCAAAGUAUAGAAAAUUGAAAAAGUUGCCAGAAGGAUUUGGAAGCUUGAUAUGUUUGAAGAAACUAUUUAUGUGAGACUUUGGAGGAGUUUUCAACUAGAUUGCCAAAUUUCGUUGCAUUAGAAGAAUUCAAUUUCUUCAGAUGUAAAAAAUUAAAGAAGUUGUGAUAAGGAUUAAGAAGUUUGACACAUUUAAAGAUACUAAGGAUGUGGGCAUGUGAGGCUUUGGAGGAAUUUCUAAGUAGAUUGCCAAAUUUGGUUGCAUAAGAAGAAUUAAAUUUUUCAAGAUCUAAAAAAUUGAAGAAUUUUUCAAAAGGAUUUGAAAGCUUGACAUGUUUAAAGAAACUAUUUAUGGAAGAAUGUGAGGCUUUGGAGGAGUUUUCAAGUAGAUUGUCAAAUUUGAUUGCAUUGGAGGAAUUGGAUUUUUUAAAGUAUAGAAAAUUGAAGAAAUUAUUAGAAGGAUUUGGAAGCUUGACAUAUUUGAAGAUACUAAGGAUGUGAAAAUAUGAGGCUUUGGAGGAGUUUCCAAGUAGAUUGCCAAAUUUGGUUGUAUUAGAAGAAUUGAAUUUUUUAAAAUAUAGAAAUUUGAAAAAGUUGUCCCAAGGAUUUGGAAGCUUAAAAUGUUUGAAGAUACUACAAAUGUGGGAAUGUGAGGCUUUGGAGGAGUUUUUAAGUGGAUUACCAAAUUUAGUUACAUUAAAAGAAAUCAAUUUCUUAAGAUGUAGAAAAUUGAAGAAGUUGCAAAAAGGAUUUGGAAGCUUGAUACAUUUAAAGAUAUUAAGGAUGUGGGAAUGUGAGGCUUUGGAGGAGUUUCCAAGUGGAUUGCCAAAUUUUGUUGCACUAGAAGAAUUGAAAUUUUCAAAGUGUAGAAAAUUGAAAAAGUUGCCAGAAGGAUUUAGAAGCUUGAUAUGUUUGAAGAAACUAUUUAUGGAGGAAUAAGAGACUUUGGAGGAGUUUCCAACUAGAUUUCCAAAUUUCAUUGCAUUAAAAGAAUUCAAUUUCUUCAGAUGUAGAAAGUUGAAGAAGUUGUCAGAAAGGUUUGGAAGCUUGACAUGUUUGAAGAUACUACAAAUGUGGGAAUAUGAGGCUUUGAAAGAAUUUCCAAAUGGAUUGCUAAAUUUUAUUGUAUUGGAAGAAUUGAAUUUCUUAAAGUGUAGAAAAUUGAAGAAGUUGUUAGAAGGAUUUGAAAGCUUGAUAUGUUUGAGAAAACUAAGGAUGUAAAAAUGUGAGGCUUUGAAGGAGUUUUCAAAUAGAUUUAUAAAUUUGCUGUAUUUGAAAGGUUUAGAAUUAGAAUAGUGAAUCUAAUUUUUUAUAGAAAUAUUGCAUACUUAUUAUUUGAAGAUUGUUGAAGUUUUAUAUUAGAUUUAGAGUUUUUAUCAAGUAAGGCUUCAUUAUAGAUUUAGUGAUAAGAGUGUUCAAAAUAGUUUUUAAGUAGAUUAUAUAUAAGUUUUUAAAAUUCUUUGGUUAUUGGAGAUUAAAGAAUUUGUCCAUAAAAGUUGAAUGCAUAACACAUUUGAAGAACCCAGAUAGAUAAAGAAUAAUGACUUUAAAGGAAUUUCAAAGUAGAUUUAGAGCUUUAGUUUUAUUUGAGUGAUUAAAAUUUCUUCUAAUUAAAAUCAUUGAUGAAGAUAUUGGAAGCAUAUAAAAUAGAUAUAUCAAAAUGUUAUGCUUUAGAAGCAUUUUUAAGUACAUUUACAUAUCUAAUUAUAUUAAAAGAAAUAAGAUAGAUCUUCAUAAGAUAUUUUUAUGCAAUAAUAAUUAUAUUCUAAAUCAUAUAUGAUAUGUUAUUCUUUUGCAUUAUUCCAUGCUAUAUUAGUAUGUGUUUAAAUAUAAAUUAUGUUGGUAUUUUUUCUUUUUCUUUUUCUUUCUAUGAUUUCUAUCCUAACUUAAGAUAUUGGUUUUAAAUUAAUAGUUUAAUAUCUCAUAUAUGUUGUAUUUCUAUUAUUUAGAUUCAUAACUAUUAGUUUAAAAUUUAACUAUUUUUAUCAUAUAUAUUAAAAUUUACUGAAUAAUUUGGAAUCUCAGAGAUUUUAAUACAACUAUUUAAAUUGAAAUAUAGUUUAUAAAAGUUAACUUUGGUAAAAAAUAAAUAAAUAAAAUUCAAAUAUGAUUUCUAAACUUCAUAUUUAUUACAAAGACCAUAGUCUCUUGAAUCUUAUAAUAAGUUUUUAAAAAAAUAUUCCAUAAGCAUGUAGACUUCAUUUAGACAUAUACUAAACCAAAAAAAUAAAAUGUAUAUUAGUAAGGCACAUGCAAGGUGUCUUUAGUCUAUACCAACUUGUUAUCAUUGUCAUAUUGAAAUUUUUUUCAACUACAAUGAAAUUUUGUGAGAUUUUAUAGUAUAUAUAUAUAUAUAUAUAUAUCUAUAUAUCCCUAAACUUAUUUAGAAGAUAUAGAAGUUCUAAUAGGUAUAUCUUUAAUUUCAACUAUUAUCUCCAAUUGCAGUAUAUUAUAAUACCACCAACAAUUCUAUAUAUUUCCAAAUAGAUUCAACUUAUUAAGCUUAUUUGUAGGAUUAGAGUUUUAAAAUAAACUCAAGUUAGCAAUACUCAAUGGUUACCACAAUGAAUGCAUAUUAUCCUUAUUGUACAUGCCUUUGCUAUCUUGUAUCUCUAAAAAUGAAAAAAUAUGUCAUCUCAAAAUUCUCCCUCAAAAACUUACUUUGUUUUGAGAUAUUUUUAAAAUCCAAAAGCCAAACCUCAUAUAUUUGCAAAUUUAAGGACUUGUAGACCAUUCUAAUUUCAUAUUUAGAAUUACAAACCUCAAAAAAAAUCGCAUAUAUUUUUAAGUCUUCAAAAAGAAUAUAUCAAAAUAAUCUAGUACAUCUAUGUAAUCUUAAACCUUUAAAACUUAAAUCCAAAAAACUUAGAGUUGGUAUUAUUUUCUAUUGCAAAUAACAAUAUGAAGGUCUUAGACUUUAUGGAUAACACACCAGUAAUUUUCAUGUUUGAUUAAUUCAAAUUCUUCUUCAAAUAUUUUAAAUAAAUUUGUACUUAAGUAAGUUAUUUAAAUACAAUAAACAUCUUAGCAUCUUAUAUUAAUGUGCCCACUAUUUAGGAUUUUAAGUCUAAUAUAUAGAGGUUAUUUUUUAAAAUAAUUGAUUUAUAAUAUGCAAACUAAAACUAGAGAGGCUUCAUAAAAUAUUACCAUGAAUCUAAAUAUUUUAACAUUUAAUUUAUAUUUUUUAUGUAAGAUUAAUAUUCAUCUAAUUUGGACUUUUCAACCACAAAUUUUAAUGAUAAAGUUAAAUUACAGUAAAAAUAAAUUUUAUAUUUAUCAUAGUUGAUUUAAGAAAAAAUAAAAUAGAUUAAUGUAAAAAUAUUAAAUUUUAUUGUAAUAUUAUUUUUAUUCUAUAAUUCUAAUUAUACAGAAAUACUUAAGUAAAGAUUUUAUGUUUAAUAUGUCUUAUUGAUUCAUGCUAUAGAUUCAUGGCGGCAUCAAACUUAUAGAAUUAGAUGAAUUUGAAACAAACAUAAGCCAUAACAACUUGAUAAUAAUUAGGCUAAUUGGAUACAAGAUUCCAUAUAUGGAUCUUUUAAAACAACCAUUUAGACAGUCCAGUGAUCACAUCAAUGACAACAUUAUACAUAUUGUUCUAAAUAAAAUGUUUAUAAAUCAUUGUUUUUUAUUUCAAUUAGAACACAAUAUGAUUAUACAUAUUUUAGAAGUGCAUCAAGCUAAAAUAAUAUAUGACAUAUUAAUAUUUAUUUUCUUUUAUGAUUUUCUAUCUUUUCAAAAACAAUGUAAUAUUACACACAAUAAAACUUCCCUCUUGUGUAUUUAUAUAAUCUCUAUAUCAUUUGAAUUAAUUUUUUAUUAAUUUUAAUAAUUUCAUGCUUUUAAUGAAUUUUAAAAUUUAAUUAUCAUUUCUCUUAAAAUUUUGGCAUGUUUUGUUUUGGUGAUUCAAUCAAGUAUAACUAUUGAUAAUGUAUAAACUAUAAAUUCUAAUUAACAAAUUGAAUCUAUAAUUAUUUAGCCAUACAAAUAAUGGCUAAUUGGUGUGGGUUAGCAAGUUGGAGUUGGCAAUGAAUCAAAUAUGUUUUAUUGCAAGCUAGUAAUCAACAAUUUUUAUUUAUUUGUGUUUUUAAGUGUAAGUGAAACUUCUUACUAUGAUAUGAUAGAUUAAGACUAUAUUUGUCAUGAUUGUGGUGGGUGGGAAGAUAUCUUAAUGGUAAUAACACCAAAAAGAUGCAACAUAUUAUAAAGUUUGUUUCUAAUGUAAGUGUUACUACACUUAGGAUAAUAUUCAUGUAAUUGCUUCAAACAUUGUAGAAUACGGUUAGUUUAAAAUAAAUAUUACAAUAGUUUCUAGAAUGAUCAUAAUUCUUUUUACUUUCUUAGUAUAUGUACUUUAAAUUCCACUAAAAGUUCUACAUUAUUUAAUAUUUGAUAUAUGUAUGUAUAUAUAUAUAUAUAUAUAUUUGUGCACACACAUACAUUUAUAUUGUGGGUUGAAACAUAACCUGGGAAAGAAAUGAAUGAACUGUAACCAACUGUUAAACAAUCAACCAAUUACUUGAUGCUUUGACCUCCUGAAAUAGAAGAUAAUUUCAGCAACAUCAGCCAUGCAGAGCAGAGCAUACAGAGCAACGAACUUCUACCAAGGCAGAGCAGAGCAUAUUACCGUAACAAAGUUAUUGUGUCCUAAUGACAGUCCUGACAGUGUGGGACGAUACCGAAAGCCAACUACAGUACAAAUCUUUGCAGAAGACACAAAAUUGAGUGAAAGCCGACAAAUGAUUGCUGAUGGAAAUUACAUCAGGCUGCCAACAACGAAAGGGUGGCAUUGGACAUAGAAAGGGAUCACCUCAAAUGUCAUUAGAGGCCUCAAAAUUUACACCAUCCUUUCAACAUUCCACGAGUGGAAUAGUUGUCCAAGACGAUUGCGCGGGGGAAAACAAACUAAGGAACUCCCAAAGAGCCUCCAGCUUGCAAGGACUCAGCGGGAACCAGGCAGCAGUAGCUUCAGCUGUAAUAACAUAUUAUUAGAUCACAGAAGCUACAUGCCAUUACAAGAACUUAGAAAAUAAAUUGCCUUAUGUUUUUAGGAAGGGCGACAAUCUAAACCACCUCUUCGCUUGAGCUUUAUCAUGAAUGUUGUUCUCACAGGUCAAAACCUGGUCAAAGCCAGAUAUUUCAGUAGCAUACUCAUCUCAAAACAUGAAGACGUUUCUCUAGAAUGGUCAUCCAGGAUGUUGAAUCAUGGUAAACGGCUAGAUGAAUUUCUGUAGACCAAUGAAAGAAAGGAGGAACAUGGUAUCCAAUCUCCAUGACCAAAUGGGAAGUCGGAUCGCUAGGGGGAAGAGGAUAGAGCCUGGGCAGCUGCGCGUAGCCACUCUGCGGCUGCCAUGGCGCCAGGAUCUGGAACUUUCGCAAGGACAUACUCAGGAACGUAACUCGAACGACCACUCUGCAAAACAGUAGGCAUAAACUUAGAAACUGUCGAAUGCCUGGAUACACAAACCCAUUGCAUGUUCAUGAUCUUUAUGAAAUUGGUUUAUAUCUUGAAUUCAAACUGAGAUAGGAAGUAGGUCGACACCAAAAAUAGGUUCAAUAGCUAGUCGUAAAUCACCUGUGCUAGCAUGGACUUUGUAGCUGCUGCACCUGCUACCGCAGCAUCAGCAGCAGCGUUGAAUGCCUUCAACGGAUCCUCUCCAGCAGCCAAUUUCUGCACGAAUUCGGUGUAUAUUUGUGAUGAAUUUUAACUUCCAAAAAUAAAUACACUCGUGACUCUGAUGCAAAUGUUACUAGAACACCGGGAUGAUAACCUACUUAGUUCUUUCAUAAUUCUUCUCAAAGAUCGCUCUUACCUCUUGGAGGGUGGUUGAGGCAGGCAAAAGGGCAUCCAAAAGAGUACGAUGACCAGCCGAAGCACCACCAUACUUUCCUACAGCAGCAACUGCUGCCUCAAAAGCUGCAGACCCUGCAAAAGAAUCUCAACACAAUACUCAUGAUUGUUAGUGCAACGCUAUUGUACAUUCUACGAUUACGUGCCUUUCGCUCUCUUUUGAUGAAUCCAUUCAUAACAUCAUGAGGCUAGAGUCAUAAAAGAAUUGUCCUCAACUAGCCUACUAUGUCAAAAUGAAAGAACGUCACAAGUAGAUCUAGAAAAAAGAAAAGAAACAAAAAACAAAAAACAAAAAAACACUUUGAGGAACUGAUUGAUACAUCCAGGAUGCAAAAGUACAAAAUUGUUGCAGGCCUGUCAUUUGUAAGCAUAACGACAAGCUCACAUUUCUUAGCCGUGACUGGGUUUCCAACAUUCUUCAGAAUAACAAAUGCUGCUCUGGUAAAUAUGUCGUAUCUGAACCCAAAAUGUUCACAUUACAAUCACGAACGGUGAAGAAAGAGGCAUCCUUAGCACUAUUUGCUCCACAGCAAGAAAACUUUGAAGCCUCAACAGUUGGUUAAGUCAUGACAGCCAGUAUAUCAUGUGGAAGAAAGAAAUGGCACAGAUAACUUACAGUAUUCCACUUGUGCCACCUGUUACUCUUCUUAUUGAAGAGCCUAACUCAUGUACGGUGGCGGCAGCAUCGUUCAAAGGAUAGCUGAGAUUUGAAGAAUAAAAUUAUAAACAAGAAGUUCCCCGGGGUGAGAGCAAUGAAGAGCGAGCUUCUAUAUAGGACGUAGAAACAGAAUGUGUAGAACUCUUGAUAAUUAAGAAACCCUCAAUGUAUUAGACCAUAAAAACACCACUAAAAAUUAAAAGCUAAAACUUCUAGCCAAAGAAACAACAAAUAUACUACCUUGAGCUUGUCAAUGAAGAAACAAUGUAAUUUGAUAGUCAUCCACAACACAUAACAAAGACAGCAUGGCACAAGUCACUUACUGACUAUCUAGGUCUUGAAGCACAGCUUUUGCUGCUUUGGCCAUCUACAAGAAAUGGUUGGUUGCUUCUAGUUAGUCAAUCAAAAAUGUACAAGACUGAUUUUUAAAACAAAUACAUAUUGUACAUCAUGAGCAUGAAAAGUUUUAAAUUUAAAAUUGAAAUUCACACAUGAAGACGCUCUAUGGUCACCUGCCCAACGUGCACAAAAUAGAUAAUAGAGCAGCAUUUCAAAUAGUAAAGACAUUUUCCCAGAAAAGGACGAACAGUUGGAGAUAAGUUUAUACAGAGCAAGUGUGAAAAUCUCACCGUUGUUCCACAAUCUCCAUCACCAACUACUCCAUCCCAUUCAUUCAAGGACUCUUUGAGGCCAAGGACUGCUGUGGCACCAGCUCUGAUUGCGGCCUCCAAUUUCUGACCUUGCGCGCUUAAUUCUUGUGGGCGGACUGGAUCCUGUUCAAGACAUACACUUGAACAACUUUGUCAUUACUUUCCAACCUGAGUAAGAUGAAUGCCAAUAGACUAUUAAAUCUCACUAGCUUAGAAAGAAAGGGCAACGUUUACCAGUAUGCCCCGAUAUGCCCCGAUACAGGACGUCAUGCUUAAAUUGCGUACAGAUAGAACCGAUUAAAAUGGUCAACACAUCCCUCGAACAUCCGAUACAUCAAUGACUUCUAGGCUAUCAUAAGGUGACAAUGAAUCAUUACUAGAUGACACGAUCACCUCCUACUGCAGGUCUUACAUUACAAUAAACCAGUUAGGAUAAGCACAAUAAUCUUCAUUUUACUAUCAUGUGCUAAGAAAAAGCCGCAAGACAAUCUACAAAAUCAAAGUUCGACAAAGUCGUAUGUCCAGUAACUCAAAAAUUGGACAAUUAAUCAGCUAAGACCCUUCACAUUUAUCAAUGGUAUUGAACUUCAGUUUCUAAACGAAUUCUGCUGCGCAAGAAGAAAAAAUAGGUCUCCUUAGAAAAAUAAAUCAGGAAUCAAAUAAAAACAGUAAAGAAAAAAUAAACGUAUAGAUAAAAUUCAAGAAGGGUACAGAAGCCAUAAACUUUAUACACAUAGCUUCAGAAGAUGAGAUUCUUGUGCACAUGACCCUCAAGAACUAAACUCAGCUAUAAUGAAACUGCCAAAAGUUAACAUAAGGUUCUGUGAGCUAAGUACCGGAUUGAGGUUUGCUGGUGCAGGUGGAAGGGCGACGGGUAAGGUUGUCGAUGGGCGAGGCCCUAAAAAUACCAUCAAAAAACAUAAAAGGAUAAGUCCAAUUUGUACCUUACGUUAUCUAAUGUCAUUAAUAGAAACCUUGGAAUGACGAGGAAUGAAAUGGCUAAAAGAAUUGUAUUAUGCACUCGCUAUCCCUAAACUGAGAAUCUGAGAUCCUCUGGUGGAAGACCCCUUUUUGAUAAAUGGGAAAAAUCCACCUUAUGACGAUUUGAAUACAUCUGUGAGAAAAUUUUCAUUUUAUAUCUAUCAGGAUAACUUAAUACUUGAGAGAAGCCAUUCAUAAUUAUGAGUCGUCCAUAACUGCAUUUUUUACACACUACGAGGUUGAUAAAGUGACAGUCGGUUUCUGCUCUAUACCAGCAACUCCAACAGGCCACGCUGGCGCCUGAGUUGCAGAGUCGAGUGCAUCCAAGAUGGAGUCGUCCACCUUCAGUACAGAGAGCGACAUUCCUGUAUACCCAACUCAAAACAAGCUCUUUAGUGAGAAUCUUCGCAAUAACAUUCCAGAGAGUUUCUGGAAAGGGUGAACAAUUGGCCUCAGCGUAACUACAAGACAGAGUGAUUGCGCCAGUGUCUGGUCUGGAAUAUAUACUAAAACUCAAUUGUUUCCAGCUAACCACUUCGCAGAAAAAACUUUAAAAUGGGCAACUCCUGAAGUGACACAAUUACCUGCCAUAUCAAGUGAUGUCAUAAAGGAGCCCGUGUAAACACGUUCCACUGCUAAGCCAUGCUCUAUUUGCAGUUGUGCAACAGCUUUCCCCGCAGCGAUCAUUAACUCCAUCAUAGGUGUUGCUCCAAGACUAAACAAAGAAAUUUUAUUUAGUUCUUCUAGUUGGCAAACUCCAGCAAAGCGGGAAGAAAUGGCUCAAUGCUAACGCAGUCAGAUACUCGGGUCAAGAAUAGGAUAUAAUUAGCAGACAUACAAAUCAAAGCCAAAGAAUAGCACAAGCGCUGGAAGAGGAAGAAUAGAAUCCAAAAUAAAUGUAUGCUACUUAAGCAUUUGAACAAGUACCUAUUCACCAUAAGUACAACUUGACUCCCUGGAGUAAUAGGUACAUAGUUUGUCUCCUGCAAACAACGAAUGGCCCACUUAAUAAGCAAGGAUAGCACAUACCUGCUGUCACUGACAGCAACAAACAUAAAAUAACGUAGCCUUUGUCACCACAUGAUAUGAAAACCACCAAUAUUAAGCUAUACAUGGAGUGACUGUUCCAGCUUUCCAAUCACAAACUUUGUAAUAAUGUAACAGAAACUCCAAAAUAAGAAACCAAUAAAUAAUACAAGCAUAGUCAUACUCUUACAACGGCAAUAAAAGGAAUAAACUAAUACAGCUUGAAACUAAUAUAGCUGAUGGGAGAUUGACUAGUAUGAGAGGAUUUUCAAAAGACUCGGUCUGAGAACCUCCUCACCAGGCUACAUUGAGACAAAACAAUGGCGUACCUGAGAUAAAAUUUGCUUCAAAAUGUGAGCCACAACGACGUCUACAGGCUGCAAAUCAGCUACCAUAGCUCCUGGUUCGCCAUGCUGCAAACGUAAAUGUGACCUUUUACAGAGAUUAGUUUUCAAAAUGACAUACCAAAGAAAGUGCACAGGUGGAAAGCGGUUAAACCGCACCAGCGUAGCUGAUUUCCAUGCCGUAUGUUUUCCACAUGACCGUAGCCAAGAUAGUGACUGGAACUAAUGAAUCUACUUAUCAUCUGCCAUCAUGAUUAUAACAGCUAUGCAAGUGGAGCACAAAUCAAAAAGAGCACACCAAUCCAAACAUGUGAAGAUGUUCUUACAAUGCCCAAACCCAACUCCAUUUUCCCAGGCCCCAAUCGAUCAGAGGGAUUUUGCCCUGGCAACGUACACACAGUCAAUGCUACUCCCAUCGUGCCUACCAUCUCUGUAACUCGCCUUGCUACUUUUGCAACUUCGGGGAGAGGACGCCCUGCAGCAGCUGCUGCUCCGGCAACCUAGCAAAAUAAUUCACACACGGAUCAAGUCAAAUUAACGCUCUAACCUGGACACGAAACAAUAGGGAGAGUCAAAGAACCAACUUUCAUCAACUUCAACCCAAUCCGAGGGUCAAAAUAAUUUAGACACUGUUCAUAAAAAAGUCUUUUGUAUACGUGCUGCAAAAAGCAACAUGACUAUUUUCGUAACUGUUUCAUGAACUUUGUAAUAUACCAACCGGUUGAUGACUACAAGAAAGACAACAGAAGCUUACAAACAGAAAUAGGACCAAUAACAUGGAGACAUUAUACCUUGUGAACAAAUAAUGUACCCGCCAAUCCACGUCGGCCAACUGGGCCUCGGGGAGGAGGGGGAAGGGCGCAAUCGUCACCAACAAUCACCAUCUGCUUUGAUGAACACAGGAUGAAGCAUUAUGCUAAUUACUGGAAAUUAUUUUCAAAACAAUUCAGAAAUCGAAGGAUAUGCAACACAGAGACACAUAACUGGAGUGCCAUUCGAGAAAACUGCCUGCCACAAGUGACCAAAUGCACCAUGAUGACGAGACUCAAAAUGACAACAAGCAGUUUGUAACAUCAGCUGCGAAGAGAAAGAAUGGAUAGUACUCCUUGACUAGCAUACGCAUACAGGAUAAGUACCAGACCAUCUGCCUCCAUAUUCAGACGACAAGAAAUGCAACCUGAACUAGUAAGUAACUAGAAUGUAACACAAAAAUAAACAUUUUUUAAAAGUGCACAGGACUACUAGUACAUUUUUUUAAAUUCAGAAAAAUCAAAUCAAACCCCAAUCCACAAAGAAAUUCAUUGCAGUGAACGAGUAUCUCAUACAUACUACAAGUUGCCAGAGCUUUUCCAAUCGUACCUCAACUUUGAAACCUUCUGCCUUCGCUUGCUCAGCAGCAGAUCCAAAAUUUAGACGAUCUCCUGUGUAAUUCUAGCACACAAAUAUCACACGUUCUAGUCAGAACCCAAAAGCUGGUUGUGCCCAUACUCAGAUGCUACAGUCUUGUAGGUAACCGUAACAAACCAGUAAUAUGCAUAUAGCAAUUGUUCACAAUCCGGUAGUGUAGUAGUAGUAAUAGUAGUGAAAAGCAAGCAUACGAUGUCCCAACAAUCAACCAUACACAUAAGACUGUCAUCCAUGAAGAUGAAAAUAGUAUAACGAGUAGACUAGUACUGCAUAAUAUACAUCGGUAUAUUCCUUCUUCGAGACAAUAAAAGAAGUAAUACCUUGACAAUAAGAAGACAUCCAGGAGGUCCAGUAACCGCACGAAUUCCCUGCAAUAUCGUGAAGAGUAUCGGUAAAGCUCUGCUGAAGCAAGAAUACUAUCUAAGAAAAGUCCCCAGCUAAAUUAGCAUAAUUUCGUCCGUUUACAUUCUUCCACAAUUCACAAGAACAGAGGCUGAGUAGCUCAUAAUCAUCUCAUGAAGACUAUUUGAUGAUUUAGAUGUUAAGUACACCCUGGCUGAACCCAAAAUGUAUGUUACCAGUUGAAGGUCAAGACAAUAUGAGGCGAGAUACUCUGCCCAAAGAUUGAAGAGUCAUACACCAGAGGAAUCAAAAUAACAAGCUCACAAAAAUCCGCCACGAAUAGAAGUAUUAGAAUUUUUGAGACUUACAGCUAAGAUUGCGUUAACAGAUGGAGAAGCAAACACUUCCCCACAAAUUGCGGCUGUAAGCAUACCCUCACCGACAUAUCCAGCAUGAGCAGGCUCAUGACCACUUCCACCACCUGUGCAUUCACAUGCCAGUAUUGGCAAAAAGAAUGCUUAAAAUAUUGUAAUUACUUGAUAAAAUUCACUGAACAAGCGUGCUAAAAUCCUUGAAAUUUGAUUUUGCUGAUACACAACUGUCCAGUUUUGAUCGAGUGGGAUUUAAAGGGUACUGGCACGCUUCGCAGAGGUCAAGUUAAUCUUAAGUUGAACAGGACUAAUUAUAUACAAGGACAAUCACCUUGAUUUCACAUUAUUUUUGGUGGUGCUUCGACAAACGAAAACAAUAAUAAAUAUAAUGCAACUCCUGUUAGGAUUUUUCUUUUCAAAUCUAUCCGGAAGCAGACGUAUUAAGUAUCAGUUUCUAGUUAAUACAGAAAACGAAGGGUUGAAUGAUGAAUAUACCUGAUAUAAUUGCAACUUUAUUGUAGUUCCCUCGUUUAAUAUCUGAACGCAAUAUCACUUUCACCUGCGCAUCACCAAAUAAACAUUAGGAGCGCACAAAAUUUAUCGCGCAAUCUCUGUGCAGAAGAGAUAAGGAGCACAUUAUUGAAUUGCAUUCCAAUGUACUCCAUUCUAAUUUUGCACAUUCCAGUUUCGCAUUCGCAGACAUCAUCUAUUAGGAGGUAGAGAUAGGAAAAAUUAUAACUACAGAAAGCAUUAUCAACAUAAUAGCCUUCACCUCAGGUAUGCCAUCAAGAUAUGUAAGGUGAGGAUAUGUCUCCACCAUUCCCUCAAUCAACUCUUUGACGACGUCUGCACGGGCCAAAACCAAAAAAACAUCUCAGUUUGUAACGAUGAAAAUAAGCGUUGAACUGACUGCACAAGGAGACUUGUCAAGGUAAUCAGAGCUGCUAGAUAACAAUAUGUUAUUCGGCACCUUCAGUAAAACCACGAUCAUCAUUGCUCUGCGUUUUCCAAAUAACAGAGCGCGAUCCUGGUCUCUGAUGGCAAUGCAAACAUAAGCCACCAAAGAAUAUCACACAGGAAGAGAGUUGAGAGAAGGAACCAGCAUAACAGACAUAUUUGAGCGAAAUCGAAUGAAUAAAUCGCAGCAUCGCCAGGAGAGUGCAAUACUCGAGUAGUCUAAUAGUAGGAGAGCGAGAUACAUCUAUUUUCAUAUUUGUUUAACUGUAGCUUUCAAUUAGAUCCUAAGAAGCUCGUUUCCUAGACAGCCAUUUUCCUGUUCCCUUUCUUAGGCCCCCCAAUAAAUGCACACGGGAGAUGCACAGGCCUACAUUAACGUCAAAUUACACGGAAUACGCUAUUCGUUAGAAAAUACAUCAAAGGAAUAAGGACACACACUAACAAUUCAAAGAGGAAACCACAGAUCAUCGAGGGAGUACUUUCAAGAGGCAAUUUAGAAAGACGAAUUUCUCAUCCUGCAUAGGGGAACAUACUGUACAUAGUCUAACCAGGGUCAGAUUUUCGAGUCCAUACUUACGAAGGAUGCUUCAUGAUCAAGUUGUGUUUAGGUUUUGGAAUGCAACAACCUUCUUAGGAAGUCCGUAAGGAGUCGCGAUCACAGUACCAUGAUAAAGAGAAAAGCUUACAAGGAUCCGGUGGGGUUGCAAAGGAUGGGAUUAGUAGGUUGCAAAAGACACCGCUCCGGUGAUACGAGACUCAAUACUGCAACCCGAUGAGAGAAAGACACAAACCAGAAGAGGAGAAAAGGCGAAGAAAUGGGUCAGGUGAAGAAGGGAGACCAAACGACAAGAAUAGACACCCUACACGCAAUCCAAUUGCACCAACCCUCGUGGUUACGACCGAUUAAAAGAACUCGCACUUCAAAAAUGUCCAUUCACAGCUAUGUUCUGUAUCAAUCAUGCAAGUAAGGCAGUUCGAAUCGGCAGGAAGUAGAGGUCCUUUUUCUUCUUACCAUUGGGAUCAUUGAUAAGCUUUUUCGCCCUCGCCAUUGCUUAUGGCGCUCUGACCAGUGCGCAGAAGCAAUUAAUACUCCAGGCUUCUUACUUUCCACAGCAGAGUACACACUUCACACUUCGUAAGCCCGGAGUAGAAUCGGAGGAGACUGCGACACUCGCUUCAGAAAGACACAGAAGUCUCCCCUCCAGAAUCUCAAGAACAGUAACGACGCCUUCAAUCAACGAUGCCAGGGAAUGUGGACACCAUACCGAAUUAGACCACCUCCGAAACCUUCUAGCAAUUUCUCCGAGAUUAAAAACGUAACUAAACUAUUUGCUCUCCUGCGAAUCGUAGAUUUCGGCAAGACCUCAACUCCUGCAAAUGAUCGCGAUGCUCUUUAGAAAAUCAAUGCCACGGAGACGCUGAACAUCAAUCUCAAGAUCACAUAAACCACAUGCCACGUAAAAGCUAUUCCAUGUCCAGUUUCCAAUGGGAAACAAUAUCCUCGGGCGACAAGACACUACCGCAUUCUCCAAAAGAACACUAAAAACAUCACAACACUUCACUCCAUUCUUCACUCCACAGCUAAAUACGCAAAAAGCAAUUCCAGCCCCACUCCCGCUCUACGACUCCAAAUUCUCACUUCAAAAAACCAACCAAGCCACGCGCUACAGAAACCGCCCUGCACGCUUCAACCACGAAGCACUUUUGAGCCCCAAAGCCACCAAAGCAAACCUCGAAACAACACUAAUAAUCGCUCCAAACUCUGAUGUCCUCAAGGUUCACGUCUUCUGGUCGCCAGACUACAGACCUUACGGGCGCAAUACAGACCAAAAAUCGUGGUGAGGCUCCAAAUUGAGAGCUCCAACACCACCGCAGCGCAGUGGCAAUGAUCAGAUGCGUCAAUGAGUCCAAGAUAUGACCUGCUUUGUAGAGUUAUGGAGCUUAAGUCGUGGAGCCCUCCACUUUAACUCUCUCAAGAACAGCUCUGUGUGCUUGCUUCUCUCUCGCCCGCCUUUUCAAUGGGUCUGGGCAGGGGGGGGGGGGGGGGGGAGGAUAAAUAAAUAAAUAAAUAAAACCGAGGGCUGGAUGGACCCGACCCGACCCACCCAGACCCUGAUAGGUUGGUUCAGUGCUAAUGCGUCCCCCCCCCCCCACCCGGCGUGGCCUUCCUUCGGGGACCGGUGGGCGUGGUUCGGAGGGGCGAUCGCUGGGUUUGUUGCUCGGUUCCACGCGCUGUUUCCAUUGCUGGGGACGUGGUUCCAUGCUUUCUUCUGGCCUCUAUAUUUUAAUUCCUGCACAGUAAUAAAAACAAAGAAAACGAGCUCCAUGAGUACUGAGUUUAGAUUGAACCAUCGUUCGUAAUUUAAAUUUGACAUUCAGUUGGGUUACGAGUUACACGUUAACUGAUAGUGUUUCACAUUAUCAGUUUUAAUGAAUCACCAACAAAGAUUUGCAACACACAUUGAAUUGCAACAAUACAUAAGAUAGAAUUUAUCUCAAAGCAACUUGUGGAAUAUUCUUCUCUCUUCCUUUCUUUCUGGUUUCAUAUACUGUAGUAUUUAUUAGAAAAAACUGUAAUCUUGAUGAAAAAUAAGUCUAUCGCACUAAAAUUUUCAAAAUCACUGUUUGAGUUGUAUAUAUUUUUUUUGAACUUAAAUAGUGAGUAUAACACAAAACAAAUGUUAGUUUCUGGUAAAUUAUAUUCUUGCAAUGUGAAUUUAAAUUUUGAUAGUAUUUGACAUGUAAAGAAUCAAAACGUUUGAUAUAAUAAAUUCUAUAUCAAAAAGAAAUAUAAAGUAGUAAAUAUCAGAAUCAAUUUGAAUAUUUGAAAUAUCUAUAAAUAUUAUUAUUCAAUAUCUGUUCAGCAAGAUAGUAGAAGCAUAUAAGAAAGACGUUUGCUAGUAUUUGUAUCCACAAGAUCGACACUGUUGAGUAACAUGUGUGUAUAUAUAUAUAUAUAUAUAUAUAUAACCUAUACAACUAAGCUAUUGAUUUACUUUUAGAAUGAUUUUACACAUACCUCAAAGAAAUUUUGUCCUGCAUAUCAUGCAUCGUGGGAUUUAUUUGAGUAAUUUCAAGAACAGAAUAAUAAGUACUUUCAAUAUAUACUUGGUGACAGAUUGGACAGAGUCCAAGAUUCCAUUUUUGUGCUGCAACCCACUUGAUUAAAACUCUACUCCUCCAACGUAAAGUAAUUUCUUGUUAAAAUGUUACAGUUUCAGGGAGUAUAUAGAAAAAGAACGAAAGAAAGAAAAACAAAAUUGAAGUUUAAAUGGUUUUGAGUGUGGUUGUCUUUUUAUCACACAUGGUGCUUUCACAUCUGCAGAUUUUAUUUUAAGAAAAUAAAAAUAAAAAUAAACACACACACACACACACACACACACACACACAUGCAAGGCAUACAUUUUGAUUUCUUUUUUUUAGAUUUUUUUUUUUUUUUUUUUAUCAUUCUACCACAUUUGCAUUCUAAUAGGUCAAAAAAUGCCACUAUGAAUUCAAAAUAUACAGUGUUCUUAACAAUACUUUGAUUUUUUUAAUGAAAAAAAAAAUACUUGUUUUUUGUAACAUAAAUACUAUAACAUUUGUUACAUAGGAAAAAGUCCUACUAUGGUAUUAAUAUAGUUUGUAUUUCAACGUAAAUAAAUUUGGUGGCUCAAAAUACCCUUUAAUAUCUUUCAAUGCUAACCUUUAUCUGUACAAAUAUUUCAAUUCCAUGUGUAGAAUAAAAUCAUUCUAAGCAUGUUGGCACUGAAAAAAGUUUUAGAGGUCAAUGUUUUGAUUUUUUUCAUGUGAUAUUUGAAGCAACUUAUGCCUAACAAAAUGAUGCCAAUACUAAAGUAUCAGAAUAAACCAACAAAUAGAAGGAAAAAAAUAAUAGGAUUGUCAAAAUUACCCUCUAAUCAUGUCAACUGCAACUUUUACAUUAUAAAUAAUCAUCUACCUUCAUACCCAUUAAAUUUUAGCAUACCAAAGACUGUGCAUCCAUAUUAUGCACACAAUUUACUUUUGUACAACCAUUCUACAUGUAAAUUUAUCCAUGUCUAGUUCAAAUAACAUAAACUAUAAAUGAAUCCUUUAAAAAAAACGAAAAAGAAAAAUUCAACCAAAAACUCAUGUUUAAAUAAUUCAUGGUAUCUUAGUCAACAUAUCCCCAACUUUUGCACACAAGGAGAUGGAUUCUCAUAAAAUUCCCUUUGUUGUUUAUCUUGUUACAAUCUCAUCAAAUGAGGGUCAUCAUCCAAAUACUUGGAUGAAUGUGUGGAAACCCUAACCACUUCCAAGUCUUAUAUGUCCAUGGCCAUUGGUACAUGGUGUGUCUUGAGUGCUUGAGGGUGGUUACAGUCUGGUCUACUCUAUUCAAACUAUACAUCCAUCCAUUGUAUUAUAUAUUCAUUUAUCCAGUUCAAGGUCAACUGUCCUUUUUUCUGGGGUGGGAGGCUAUAGCAACAAGUGCAUGUGCUUGUUCUGGCUCCUCAUAUUUAUUAUUCACAAUGCACACAAUUCCAUGUGUUGGGAUCCAAGUUUGUUUAUGAAAUAUCUUUUAGUUGAUUUAUUAACAUAGUCCUUCACGGUGCUAACCUGCCAGCCUCUGACUAUUUUCCAUAAGGAAACACUGAAAACGAAAAAAGAAAAAAGAGAGAGAGAAAUGGAAAAGGAAAAAGGUGUGGUUGGAGAAGGGGGCAGAGUGAGGUCCCAAAUCAGGCGGGGCGAGACCCAAACAAGAAAAGCCAGGACCAGGAGCCCUCGUGUGAAACCAAACAUGUGGGUUGGCACCGCGGAUUGGCUCCCUUCGUGGAGGAGCCUGCCGCGUGGCACAUAAUGGGGAGCUUAUAUUCUGGGAUGGGAAAAAAAUUGGUGUCACGUGGGAAAAUAACGAUUUUGCCAACUAGGACUCCCGAUGGGGGAACUUCGGGAACGUGGGGAUCAUCAGAAGAUCCUGGGUGCCUCCCAUUCGUGGGUUACUAAUCACCCCCCAGUUUUGGGUUCAAUUCCGAUUGGAUGGGACUUCAUCCGUCGGAACAUAUUCAUCCGUAACCUGAAUAUUCCAGAGGGGUCCAAAUUCAGGGCCUGCGGAGUAAGACAAACAGGGGGAGUGGAGGAGCUCAGCAUUAAUUUAGGGGGGGGGGACUUCCCCUCCUUUGCUUGUUUGACCAUCUCACAACACCAGUGAGCAUGUGAUUAUUUCAAUGCUUGGAGACUUGUACACACAAGGAGAUGGGGAGAUAAGAGAGAGUUAUGGGUGUGUUGGGCUGCCUUCCUUUUCUUACAUUGCUACCCUAAACCUCCCCAAUUUCUGGCUUUCACCUUUUCUUUUAGUAAGCCAGGUGAGAGUCAUGGGAUUUGCUCUCUCAGAGCUACAAGUCACUGCAUAUGAUUUGCAAACAUUUAUCAAGGCCAUACAUUGUUUUGAGUUCUUUUAUUAUUUAUGUCUUUUUUAUUAUAUAUAUAUAUAUAUAUAUAUAUAUAUAUAUAUAUUGGAAGGCUUUGGUUUCACCUUUGAUGUUGCCAAUAAUUGAUGGGGCAUUGAGAGAAAUGGGUCAAAACUCUAUGGCUCUUAAUUUAGGCAGUAAUUGUGUAAAAGCUUGAACAAAACCUGGGAAAAGAGACACACUUUAGCCACUGUAAAUAUAAGACAAAGUGAAUUCUUUCAUUUGAAAGAAUUUACUGAAGUGCUUUUUUAUAUAUAACCCAGAAAAUUAUUUAUUUAUUUAUUUAUUAACACUCUGAUUGAUCUUGACUCUAUUCAAUGUUUGUUCUACACUGAUGAAGUGAUUUGCAAAAAAGUAGUCUAUAUACUCUAAAUUUACAGUCAAAUAUUA